UUACAACAGCUUUAAUUUAAUUUCACAGUCGUUUAUACAAAUCAACACCGCUUUUGAAGACGGCCGUCUCUAUAAUGGGGUUUCACAAUUCGUUAUUUCUGCAUGAAAUACGCUAAUCCGUAAUAAGCGCUCAGUUUUAGUCUGUUACGUGCUGAUUUUCGACGUAAAUAUGCCUCCUCGAGAUGCUCGAAAUUUAGUGUUUUAACCAAUAAUGUGUUACAAGUUUUAUUUGCCGUAAUUUUAUAAUGAUUGUCACUAAGAAGCCUCACAUUACAACACGAAUAUCUUUUUAAUGUCGUUUCAGGAAAGACUUAUGGUUCCAUACUCUAUUUACAUCAUUAGACAUUAUCAGAACACAGGUGGAAAACUGCGUGUGCAUUUGCCUGUUUCAGCCGAAUACACCCAUGGUGUCAGCACUCGGCCAUUGCGUUUGAAAUUGUCUCGAAGACAGUGGCAUUUUUCCGUAUUGGUUCCAAUCAUAUCCAGUGAUGAAAAUAAAACACAGAACCGAAAGUCUCCCUUGAAAUCUCGUUAAAAAGAUAAUCGUGUUCUAAUGUGUACUUAUUACUGAUAAUCUUUACUAAUUACACUAAAUAAAACUUGUAACACAAUAUUGGUUAAACCACUUAAAGUUGGCAGUCUUUGCAAACAUCAAAAGGCACAAAAGCUACUGCUAGUUGAGUUUCAUAUGCUUUCCUGUAAUUUUAUACUUUCUUGCAGUUUCACCUUUUUGGGGGGUCAGUCCACUGAAGACUAUUAAAAGCAGUUUUAUUGUAUGUAGACGAUUUGCUGAUCACCACACAAACCUGGGAAGAGCGUUUAGAAAUCUAGGACAAUGUCUUUAAAGCCUUAAUUGCAAGUAAUUGGAGUAACUUUGUACCACUUUUUCCAUUUUUUUGAAAACAUUGGACAUGAAUAAAGUUACAAAUCGCAAACAAACAUCAUAACAUUAUACCCGUAUAGUUACUGAGUUUAUGGGAAAGUUAAAAUGUUCACCAACUCUGCCCUAUUAGAGUAAAAUUUCUGUUUUAAUACUAGUAAAAAGUUAUCCUUUCAUUUAGGUUAACUUUAAAAAUAGUAUUUUUCUUAUAUCUAAUGCUCUGGGUAAAGUUAGAUUCAUGUCAGAAGGAGAUCAGGUGUUUAUAAGAAGUAAAAACAAACUGUUAAUUCAGUAUUGCAGGCUUACUUUGAAGUAUCAAGAUAUUUUAUAGACUUGACAUUGUUCAACUUAACAUCACUGUCACCAGAAGCUCCCUUCACAGCCAAUGCAAUUAAAGCAUAAUCACAAGCCUGAGAGCUUGUAAGGAGGUGGAAAGACAACUGGAAUACUAACUAGAAACUGUAGAGUUUCAGGUGAAUUGGAUGAAAAAAAAAAUGUUGUAAAUAAUAACAACAUUGUCUUAUUGUACACUGCGGGAGGGAAUAAGAGUAGAAGUAAUAAAAAAAUGGGAGACGUCGCAUACGCUGAGCUAUCCUGAGAGGUGGUGUGCUGCCAUCUGAAUUGCAUGGAAGGGAGUCUCGUGCAACAUGUGGAUUUCCAAACACAAAGUGCAUCUGGACUGCUGCUUGGUCGUUUUUCAGAGCAAGAAGCCCUUGCCACAUUACAGGGUAGCGCUGUAAAAUAAAUUUUAAAUAAUGUUUGGGCUAUUAAAAAGAGCAUUACAUAUUACAAACAUUAUUCCAUAGGUUUAUACAGCAGCUGCACGUCACAGUAUUUACCAUGUAAUGGUGAGUGUGCUGUAAAGAUACAGUCUGUUUCCUCCAUGGCUCUGCUGUUCUUAUCAAUGUAGCAAGAAAUAAAUAAAUAAAUUUACAAUAUA